rnacentral:rRNA from 1 species
GACGAACGCUGGCGGCGUGCUUAACACAUGCAAGUCGAACGGCAAGGCCGCUUUCGGGGGGUACUCGCGUGGCGAACGGGUGCGUAACACGUGAGUAACCUGCCCUUGACUUUGGGAUAACUUCAGGACACUGGGGCUAAUACCGGAUAGCAGUUCCUGCUGCAUGGUGGGGGUUGGAAAGUUUCGGGGGGCGGGGGAGUACUCGCGGCUUAUCCGCUUGUUGGUGGGGUAGUGGCAUACCAAGGCUUUGACGGGUAGCCGGCCUGCGAGGGUGACCAGCGACACUGGGACUGAGACUCGGCCCAGAAGCCGACGGGAGGCAGCAGUGGGGAAUGUUGCACUAAGGGUGGAAGGCUGAUGCAGCGACGACGUGUGUGGGAUGAGGGACUUCGGGUUAUAAGCCGCUUUCGCUCAUGACGAGGCGGUGUGUGACGGUAGUGGGUAAAGAAGCACCGGCUAACUACGUG